rnacentral:rRNA from 1 species
UACGGAGGAGGCAAGCGUUAUCCGGAAUUAUUGGGCGUAAAGCGUCCGCAGGUGGCACUUCAAGUCUGUCGUCAAAGACUGGGGCUUAACCCUGGAAAGGCGGUGGAAACUGAAGCGCUAGAGUGCGGUAGGGGUAGAGGGAAUUCCCGGUGUAGCGGUGGAAUGCGCAGAUAUCAGGAGGAACACCAACGGCGAAGGCAGCUCGCUGGGACGGUACUGACGCUAAGGCGCGAAAGCGUGGGGAGCAAACAGG